UGGGGAAUAUUGCACAAUGGGCGAAAGCCUGAUGCAGCGACGCCGCGUGAGGGAUGACGGCCUUCGGGUUGUAAACCUCUUUCAGUAGGGACGAAGCGCAAGUGACGGUACCUGCAGAAGAAGCACCGGCUAACUACGUGCCAGCAGCCGCGGUAAUACGUAGGGUGCGAGCGUUGUCCGGAAUUACUGGGCGUAAAGAGCUCGUAGGCGGUUUGUCACGUCGUCUGUGCAAUCCUAGGGCUUAACCCUGGACGUGCAGGCGAUACGGGCUGACUUGAGUACUACAGGGGAGACUGGAAUUUCUGGUGUAGCGGUGGAAUGCACAGAUAUCAGGAAGAACACCGAUGGCGAAGGCAGGUCUCUGGGUAGUAACUGACGCUGAGGAGCGAAAGCAUGGGUAGCGAACAGG
rnacentral:rRNA from 1 species